rnacentral:lncRNA from 1 species
AUGGAAUAUGACGCCACAAACCUAUCUUUAAAACCAGGCAAGAUCCCAACUAAAGAGUUUCCAAGGUGCUACAGAUUAGCACAUUGGGAAAUGAUGACUCUUCUGAUCAUAGCUGCACUGAAAGAAGCAAUUGCAGAAAACCCAAAGAGACCCUCCGGAUGCUUUGUCUCAACAUACUCUGCAGUGAGAAUAUCUGUUUCCAGGUGGAAGGCGGUCCUGGUCAGGGUUGGCUUGACACACCUUCCUCUUGGCACAUUUCUCUCUUUCACCCUCCAUUUGCGCCUCUUUGAAUUCCACUGCACUGCUGGUCUAAGGUAUAUAAUUCCUUAUUAUAUGUGUGGGUGAUGCUGAGGAGUGGUGGUUUUAGAAGAUGCAAUUCCAGGGCAGUGUAUAUGAGUUUAAUGUGUUAAUAAGUUAAUGUGUUUAACAAAUUACUUGGAAGUUACUGUUUAUUCCAAUUAUACUAAAAAUAGUUAUUUUUUGCUUGUAAUGGCCAUGGCUGUGAUUCACUUCUUUUUAGAUGAAUAAGAAAGGAUUUUGUUACUGCUCCUGAGUAUUGAUUGUAUGCAGUGACUCAGUAUGAGGAUGAGGGAGGAAUGGUAACUUGGGCAGCUGUCUUAUACAGCAGCAGCUAGGAGGAAUUUCCUUGUAAUUUUUCCAAUUUUUCCAGAAUUUCCAAGGUGCAAUAUCUGAUAUAGCCACUUGGUGGAACCAGAACCAGAGAACAUUUCCCCAUAUUUUUUUAACUAUAACAAAAUAGGAACUUUUUAGUAAUGAUGAGUAACUCAACAAAUUAUUUUUCUAGUUAGUCAUAACAGUAUUAGCUAAUGACCUGUUGGGUGAUUAUUAGAGCUGGCAUCCUGCUGAUGUACCUUGGCAGAGCACAGUGCACAUCAAACCACUUUUUCUGGUUCACUUGUUUGCCAUUCAUUGGAAGGGUUCCGUAGUACCAUACUACAUAGUAGAGUAUGUGUAAAGUUACACAGCAUAGUCCAUGACAUAGCAUUGUAACCAACAAGAACAGUGCCUCGAUUUGCCAGCCAGUCACCUUGACAUGGGAAGGAGGGGAUUCAGUGGCAUUGCUGAGGGGUUCAAGGGGUGAGGACCAAAUUGAGCGACACUAUCAGAGGGGGAUGACACCAAAAUGACUGUCUAUACAAUGUUGUGUUGAUGCUGUGCCCAGUCAGGUGAUCCUUCCUUCUUGUUUCUCUCCAUCAAGUAGAUUUUGGUGGCCCUGAAAAUGAUGUACACUCCUCUGUCCCAUAUUGCUGAAUGGACUGUGCCUUAAACUCUUCAUAACUUGCUCAAGUCUCUUUCAGAACAUCAUCUUCCAUCCUUCACCCUACUUGUUCAAAGGGAGGAAAUUUGACACC